CUAUGGGGCGCAGCAGCCGAGAAACCUUUGCAAUGUGCGAAAGCACGACAAGGUUAAUCCGAGUGUCUCCUGNUAAAGGAGUCUUUUGUCAGUUGUAGAAUCACUGGUGAAUAAGGGGUGGGCAAGUUCUGGUGUCAGCCGCCGCGGUAAAACCAGCACCUCGAGUGGUCAGGAGGUUUAUUGGGCCUAAAGCAUCCGUAGCCGGUUGCAUAAGUUUUCGGUUAAAUCUAUGCGCUUAACGUAUAGGCCGCCGAAAAUACUGUGCAGCUAGGGAGUGGGAGAGGUACACGGUACUCGAUAGGAAGGGGUAAAAUCCUUUGAUCUAUUGAAGACCACCUGUGGCGAAGGCGGUGUACCAGAACACGUUCGACGGUGAGGGAUGAAAGCUGGGGGAGCAAACCGGAUUAGAUACCCGGGUAGUCCCAGCUGUAAACGAUGCAGACUCGGUGAUGCAUUGGCUUGUGGCCAAUGCAGUGCCGCAGGGAAGCCGUUAAGUCUGCCGCCUGGGAAGUACGUACGCAAGUAUGAACUUAAAGGAAUUGGCGGGGGAGCACCACAAGGGGUGAAGCCUGCGGUUCAAUUGGAGUCACGCC
rnacentral:rRNA from 1 species